UUAAGUGACGAUAGCCUAGGAGAUACACCUGUACCCAUGCCGAACACAGUAGUUAAGCCCUAGAACGCCUGAAGUAGUUGGGGGUUGCCCCCUGUAGAUACGGUAGUCGCUUAGC
rnacentral:rRNA from 1 species